rnacentral:rRNA from 1 species
GACGAACGCUGGCGGCGUGCCUAAUACAUGCAAGUCGAACGCAGUGGGGACGGGUGAGUAACACGUGGGUAACCUCACAUAAGAGGGGAUACCACAUGGAAACAGGCGCUAAACCGAUACUGAUGGAUGGACCCGCGGUGCAUUAGGCAUUUGGGUGGGUAACGGCUGACCAGGGCGAGGAUACAUAGCCGACCGGCGAGGGUGGUCGGGCCAACUGGGACUGAGACCAGGGCCAGACUCCUACGGGAGGCAGCAGUAGGGAAUCUGCGGCAAUGGACGGAAGUCUGACCGAGCAACGCAGCGGGAGGGAAGGAGGUUUUCGGGUCGUAAAGCUCUGUUGUUAGAGAAGCGGUAACUAACCAGAAAGGGACGGCUAACUACGUGCCAGCAGCCGCGGUAAUUC